AUUGAACGCUGGCGGCAGGCCUAACACAUGCAAGUCGAACGGUAGCACAGAGAGCUUGCUCUCGGGUGACGAGUGGCGGACGGGUGAGUAAUGUCUGGGAAACUGCCCGAUGGAGGGGGAUAACUACUGGAAACGGUAGCUAAUACCGCAUAACGUCGCAAGACCAAAGUGGGGGACCUUCGGGCCUCACACCAUCGGAUGUGCCCAGAUGGGAUUAGCUAGUAGGUGGGGUAAUGGCUCACCUAGGCGACGAUCCCUAGCUGGUCUGAGAGGAUGACCAGCCACACUGGAACUGAGACACGGUCCAGACUCCUACGGGAGGCAGCAGUGGGGAAUAUUGCACAAUGGGCGCAAGCCUGAUGCAGCCAUGCCGCGUGUAUGAAGAAGGCCAUCGGGUUGUAAAGUACUUUCAGCGGGGAGGAAGGCGGUGGAGUUAAUAACUUCAUCGAUUGACGUUACCCGCAGAAGAAGCACCGGCUAACUCCGUGCCAGCCGCCGCAGUAA
rnacentral:rRNA from 1 species